rnacentral:rRNA from 1 species
UAGAAAAGGGCGCACGGUGAAUGCCUAGGCACUAACAGCCGAAGAAGGACGUGACGAACUACGAAAAGCUUCGGGGAGCGGUAAGUACGCAGUGAUCCGGAGAUAUCCGAAUGGGGGAACCCAAUGCAGAGAUGCAUUAUUGAUUAGUGAUAGAUAGCUAAUCAAACCAAGACGCAGUGAACUGAAACAUCUAAGGUACC